rnacentral:rRNA from 1 species
ACAUGCAAGUCGAGCGCACUUCGGGGGCGAGCGGCGGACGGGUUAGUAACGCGUGGGAAUGUACCCUUCUCUAAGGAAUAGCCACUGGAAACGGUGAGUAAUACCUUAUACGCCCUUUUGGGGAAAGAUUUAUCGGAGAAGGAUCAGCCCGCGUAAGAUUAGAUAGUUGGUGGGGUAAUGGCCUACCAAGUCUACGAUCUUUAGCUGGUUUUAGAGGAUGAUCAGCAACACUGGGACUGAGACACGGCCCAGACUCUACGGGAGGCAGCAGUGGGGAAUCUUGGACAAUGGGCGCAAGCCUGAUCCAGCCAUGCCGCGUGUGUGAUGAAGGCCUUAGGGUCGUAAAGCACUUUCGCUAGAGAUGAUAAUGACAGUAUCUAGUAAAGAAGUCCCGGCUAACUCCGUGCCAGCAGCCGCGGUAAUACGGAGGGGACUAGCGUUGUUCGGAAUUACUGGGCGUAAAGCGUACGUAGGCGGAUCAGAAAGUAUGGGGUGAAAUCCCAGGGCUCAACCCUGGAACUGCCUCAUAAACUCCUGGUCUAGAGUUCGAGAGAGGUGAGUGGAAUUCCGAGUGUAGAGGUGAAAUUCGUAGAUAUUCGGAGGAACACCAGUGGCGAAGGCGGCUCACUGGCUCGAUACUGACGCUGAGGUACGAAAGUGUGGGGAGCAAACAGGAUUAGAUAYCCUGGUAGUCCACACYGUAAACGAUGAAUGCCAGUCGUCGGGCAGUAUACUGUUCGGUGACACACUAACGGAUUAAGC